GCGCAGCAGGCGAGAAUAGUCUACAAUGGACGAAAGUCUGAUAGUGCGACGCCGUGUGUGCGAUUAAUUCCUUCGGGAUGUAAAGCACUUUUCUAUGAGAUAAAAGCUCUUUAGGUUAAUAGCUUAUUGAGACGGAUAUUAUUAUAGGAAUAAGCUCCGGCUAACUCCGUGCCAGCAGCCGCGGUAAUACGGAAGGAGCGAGCGUUGUCCGGAUUUACUAGGCGUAAAGGGCUAGUAGGCGACUAAUUAAGUUAUAUGUUAAAUCCCACGGCUCAACUGUGGUCCUGCAUGUAAUACUGGUUAGAUAGAGUACUGUAGAGGAAGGCAGAAUUCCUGGAGUAGCGGUGGAAUGCGCAGAUAUCAGGAAGAAUACCAAAAGCGAAGGCAGCCUUCUGGGCAGUUACUGACGCUGAAUAGCGAAGGUGUGGGUAGCGAACAGGAUUAGAUACCCGUGUAGU
rnacentral:rRNA from 1 species